CUUCUGUCCAAACCUUUUGCAGAAAUCUGGGUAUCAUGGGUAGGGGAGGGAACGCAUACCCCCGAUCGAAUGACCAAGGAAAAGAAAGAGCAUCCUGGACCAUCGCCCAAUUGUCUGGAUGGAGAGAGUAGAAUUUAUCUACAUGACAGUUCCUGGAAGUCGCCAUCAGGUCGAUCUGGGGUAUGCCCCACCGAUGGGAAAUCCCUGAGAAAACUGUCGGGUGAAGCCUCCAUUCUCCU